rnacentral:lncRNA from 1 species
CAUCGAUGCAUCUUGGACAGCAAGGUCUGUUCUCCAGCGGAAUAGCAGCAUUUCAUGUCACUACUGCCCCCCCCCACCACCAUCCUGCACACCCCCUCCUUUCUUCCACAUCCCAUUUAGAUGCAGGGUUUGCAUUCGCAAUGGCCGUCUGAGGAGUGCUUUCACGCGAGAUGCCCCGUAUGACCGUGACACAUUUUGCAUGAAGCGGCAGACGAGUCCAAGUAGGUUGGAAAGGACAAUCAUACGGAUAAGCCAGACCGAAUGGGCCACCACCUUCCAGCUGCUGUGCCAAGCCAUCAGAGAGAUCUACUGUCCUGGUUGACAAGGCUACAGGUAUGAUAAUAUGAUCAUAUGGUGGUGAUGCUGGAUGCAGAACUGUGCAGCUCAAGCUACAUGAUUAUACUCUGAUUGAUAAUAAUCAGCGCUGCAUUCAGGCUGCGAUUUAAAAAUGACCCCGACGCUGUACUGAAGGACAAACUUUUUGCAGUCCAUCUUGGGAGAUGGCAAAUGCUCAGCACCUGAACGACAUAUGACUGGUAGAUAAGUACUUCUUGUCAUAUUUAUUUUGAUUUUUCUAUUUUUACAGUAAUUUUUUUUAUGUUGAUCAUUGUCGAGCAUUCAUUAAUGCCUUCAUUUCUUGUUCCUCCCACCAAUUGUGUGAUAUCCGAGGCAGUUAUGACACGUGUGCCCUGGACAAUUUGUUUGAGGACAACGUGCUUUUCCAGAACACGGUUCUCCCCCUUUGAGAACGUUGCACAGGUACCAGCUUGCUCUCUUCUGGCGUGAUGGGAAACGUGGUGACUUGUUGCAAGAUAUGUCCGAAGAUUUCUCUGGAUCGGACUCGACAGGAUGACACCAUCUCGCUGCUUUCCAAUGAGCCCAGUGCUUCUUGGUCUCCAGUUCUGUCAUUUCAUUCAGCACCGGAGCCUGUUUCAAAAAUGGGGCAGACGGUCCCUCCGCUUGAGUCUUGCUGUGCUGCCAGCAGUGAGAGUGGUGGAAGUGGGGCACGAAUGCCCGAUGUGGUGCAAAGUGUUGGUACUCCAACGAGUAUAUUAGGCCGAAAUCUUAACCCCUUUGCUUGCUGCAAUCCUUUGCUGCAAGGGAUUGGGCAACAUGAAGCAGACAUUGCUUGUGCUGCUUCUGCUGCAAUCACAGGCACUGGCCCUUCAAACUGGACCUGUAUGGUACCGCCAUCUGGCUGCCAAGCACAAUGGCCAUGGGUUCCCGGUGACCGCAGAGAGACGGCAUGUGGAAUCGAGCUCAACCCAUUUUCGCUUAAUGCCAUGCUGGCAGUUCAGGAUUGGAGGCGGACAUUUUCUGGUGAAGCAAGCGGAGACGUUGGUGCUGCAGGCUUGCACACCAUGCCACCUGUGGCAGGAGCUGGGGAAGCUCGUGCUAGUGUGCCACCUCUAAUCUAUGACAACCGUUUGAUGCAACUUGUGGGAGAACAUGGCUUUUGCAGUGGCUGUAUCGAAGCAGCACUCUGCAGUCAUUGUUCAGGCUCGAGGGCCGAUGGUCUUAACUUAAGUCGUGCAGGAGUCCCAUUGGGUCUUUCCUCCAAUUUUGGCAUGACAAGAGGAAGCACUGAGGCACCAUGUCUCCUUGCCACCCGAGGUACUAUUCCGGCAUCAGACAGUGUCUUACAUGGCAUAGAAACAGAGGCCCAGCAAGGUUAUAGAGCAUCACUGCCUCCCGGGUUCCGCAGUAUGAUUUCUGAUCCAGAUGCUUGGUCGGAUGGUGAUAGGCCAGUUGACAUUGGACAGUGCUGUGGAGAGAUGGGCUGCAGCUGUGAAAACAUCGUGAAGAGAGUUUGUGAUGUCAAGGCCAGGCAAGGUUUUGAGCAAACCUCAAGGUCUGUCACAGGCGAAAGGGCCACAUCAUUGUCUGAUAUCUUUUCUGUGCCACAAGCCACGGGAAAAGGUAAAAGGAGAAAGAAGAAGAGACGUGGAUCGUCUUCAAGGAAAGACCCAGGGUGUCCGACUGAGGAGCUGCCGGCUCUGGAUGCAGCCUUCCCUGUCAAGAUCUCUGCACCUGGUGGAGACAACUUUGAGCUGCAGGUUUGUAUUUGUCUGCACUUGCCUUUUGAAACCUAAAAACGGUGUUAUGUUGUUUGAGUGUCUAAUAUGGCCAAACUGUCAUCAUUCU